UUCUUCUUCUUCUUCUCCCUUCCUUCUCUCUUCUGGUCGUACGAAAGCUUCUCCCAUAUCUUCUGCAGAUUGAGCCCUUUGUGUCCUCUCUUCUGUUCGGAGGAAGCAAACUCUCACAUCGACCCUUACUCUCUUCUUCUUCUUCUCUCUCCUUACCCUCUUCUGUUCAUAGCAGUGCCUAGGCGGUGAGCUGCUGCCUUUACCGUGAGACGCCAUUCGAGUGAAAACCUAGGUUUAUCCAUUCAGGGAAUAGCCUAAAGCAAGGAGAUAUGGGAGAAGCUUUCGUACAACCAGAAGAGGGAAAGGAGGGACAAGAAGAAGAAGAAGAAGAAGAGGAGGUGAACCGUUUUGGUCGACCCGGUUGAGUUUUCAAAACCAAAUAUUAGAUGAUCCACCAUACACGUGUCGGCAUCGCAAGUUGGCUCUGCCAGGCUCCGCCAAAAAAGCACGCCGCAGACGAGCUCGAACCUUUCGGUACCAGUAUCGACCUUGAUCGAUACGGAUCAGCCGAUAUGAUACAUACAUCCAUUUCGGAUGAAAUAAAUGGCUUUUUAUCCAAUGUUAGUCCGUACGGCUUAUACAUGUCGAUAUCAGUAUCAGUAUUGCCGGCAUCUGAUACCCAUCCCAAUAUUGUUAUGCAAACUCCAGUAAAAUAGAUGUAGACAUUUUAUCAUUAUAUAGCUAAUGUACUCCUCAUUAUUAGUAUUUCACACUACUUGGUCC